rnacentral:rRNA from 1 species
AUUGAACGCUGGCGGCAGGCUUAACACAUUCACGUCGAACGAGUGGCGGACGGGUGAGUAAUUCUUGGGAAUCUAGCUCAUGGAGGGGGAUAACUACGGGCAACUGUAGCUAAUUACGCGUACCAUAGGAUUAGCCCACUUGGGAUUAGUUAGUUGGUGAGGUCAAGGGUCACCAAGGCGAUGAUCUCUAGCUGGUCUGAGAGGAUGACCAGCCACACGGGGACGUAGACACGGCCCGGACUACUGAGGGAGGCAGCGGUGGGGAAUAUUGGGCAAGGGGGGCAGCUGGACGCAGGCAUGCCGCGUGAAUGGAGAAGGCGUGCGGGUUGUAGCGGUCUUUCGGUAGCGAGGCGUUAACUACAGAAGAAGCACAGGCUAACUCCGUGCCAGCCGCCGCGGUAAUUC